UACAGAGGGUGCGAGCGUUAAUCGGAAUUACUGGGCGUAAAGGGUGUGUAGGUGGUUGUGUAAGUUAGAUGUGAAAUCCCUGGGCUCAACCUGGGAACUGCGUUUAAAACUGCACAGCUAGAGUACUGUAGAGGAUAGUGGAAUUUCCAGUGUAGCGGUGAAAUGCGUAGAUAUUGGAAGGAACAUCAGUGGCGAAGGCGACUUCCUGGACUGUAACUGACACUGAGGCACGAAAGCGUGGGGAGCGAACAGG
rnacentral:rRNA from 1 species